UACACUCUUUACCUGCACGAAUGGCGUAACGAUCUGGGCACUGUCUCAACGAGAGACUCGGUGAAAUUGUAGUAGCGGUGAAGAUGCCGUUUACCCGCAGCUAGACGGAAAGACCCCGUGAACCUUUACUGUACUCUGAUAUUGGCUUUUGACUUGUCAUGUGUAGGAUAGCCGGGAGGCUGUGAAAGAGAUUCGUCAGGAUUUCUGGAGCCAUCCUUGAAAUACCGGCCUUGACAUGUUGAAAAUCUAACGAAGCCCCGUGAAUCCGGGGUUCGGACAUUGUCAGACGGGCAGUUUGACUGGGGCGGUAUCCUCCUAAAAUGUAACGGAGGAGUUCAAAGCUUGCCUCAUCGUGGUUGGCAAUCACGAUUAGAGCGUAAAGGUAUAAGGCAAGUUGACUGCGAGACCAACGAGUCGAGCAGGUACGAAAGUAGGACUUAGUGAUCCGGCGGUGGAAAGUGGAAUCGCCGUCGCUUAACGGAUAAAAGGUACUCCGGGGAUAACAGGCUUAUCGCCACCAAGAGUUCAUAUCGACGUGGCGGUUUGGCACCUCGAUGUCGGCUCAUCGCAUCCUGGGGCUGUAGAAGGUCCCAAGGGUUUGGCUGUUCGCCAAUUAAAGCGGUACGCGAGCUGGGUUCAAAACGUCGUGAGACAGUUUGGUCCCUAUCCUUUGCGGGCGCAGGAUACUUGAGAGGAGCUGCUUCUAGUACGAGAGGACCGAAGUGGACAAACCAAUGGUGUUCCGGUUGUUCUGCCAAGGGCAUAGCCGGGUAGCUACGUUUGGAAAGGAUAAGCGUUGAAAGCAUCUAAACGCCAAGCCUCCCUCAAGAUUAGGUAUCCCAAUGAGACUCCAUGAAGACUACAUGGUUGAUAGGUUGGAAGUGUAAGCGUAGUAAUGCGUUGAGCUGACCAAUACUAAUGAGUCCAUUGGCUUGACCAU
rnacentral:rRNA from 1 species